rnacentral:misc_RNA from 1 species
GAUGAAGAACGUAGCGAAAUGCGAUAAGUAAUGUGAAUUGCAGAAUUCAGUGAAUCAUCGAAUCUUUGAACGCACAUUGUGCCCGCCAGCAUUCUGGCGGGCAUGCCUGUUCGAGCGUCAUUUCAACCCUCAAGCUCUGCUUGGUGUUGGGGCCCUACGGUUGACGUAGGCCCUUAAAGGUAGUGGCGGACCCUCUCGGAGCCUCCUUUGCGUAGUAACUAACGUCUCGCAUAGGGAUUCGGAGGGACUCUUGCCGUAAAACCCCCAAAUUUUCUAAUGGUUGACCUCGGAUCAGGUAGGAAUACCCGCUGAACUUAAGCAUAUCAAUAAGCGGAGGA